rnacentral:rRNA from 1 species
AUUGAACGCUGGCGGCAGGCUUAACACAUGCAAGUCGAGCGAGUGGCGGGCGAGUGGGUAAUGCUUUGGAAUCUAACUUAUGGAGGGGGAUAACUACGGGUAACUAUAGCUAAUACCGCGUACCAUAGGAUGAGCCCAAGUGGGGUUAGGUAGUUGGUGGGGUAAAGGCUCACCAAGCCGACGCUCUCUAGCUGGUCUGAGAGGAUGACCAGCCACACUGGGACUGAGACACGGACCAGACUCCUACGGGAUGCAGCAGUGGGGAAUAUUGCGCAAUGGGGGCGAACUUACGCAGCCAUGCCGCGGGAAGGAAGAAGGCCCUCGGGUUGGAAAGGUCGUUCGGUAGCGAGGCGUUAACGACAGAAGAAGCACCGGCUAACUACGUGCCAGCCGCCGCGGUAAUAC